UACGUAGGGUCCGAGCGUUGUCCGGAAUUAUUGGGCGUAAAGAGCUCGUAGGUGGUUUGUCGCGUUGUUCGUGAAAACUCACAGCUCAACUGUGGGCGUGCGGGCGAUACGGGCAGACUUGAGUACUGCAGGGGAGACUGGAAUUCCUGGUGUAGCGGUGAAAUGCGCAGAUAUCAGGAGGAACACCGGUGGCGAAGGCGGGUCUCUGGGCCGAUACUGACGCUGAGGAGCGAAAGCGUGGGGAGCGAACAGG
rnacentral:rRNA from 1 species